rnacentral:rRNA from 1 species
UACGUAGGGUACAAGCAUUAAUCGGAAUUAUUGGGCGUAAAGGGCGCGUAGGCGGAAGGGUAAGUCAGAUGUGAAAUACCAAAGCUCAACUUUGGUGCUGCAUUUGAAACUGCUUUUCUAGAGGACUGACGGAGAAAGCGGAAUUCCACGUGUAGCGGUGAAAUGCGUAGAUACGUGGAGGAACACCGGUGGCGAAAGCGGCUUUCUAGUUUUUUCCUGACGCUGAGGCGCGAGAGCAAGGGGAGCAAACAGG